UUGAAAGGGAAACGAUUGAAGUCAGUCGUACCGACGAGAAAUCAGCUUAUCGUGUGUUAACUUGUGGGCGUGCGUGAGUUUCGGCCUCGCUGUUUGCAUGUUUGAGCGCUUUGGGUGUACUUUUUCGUAUGGUUGGCCAACAUCAGUUUCGAUCACUAUAAAAUGACUGGCGGAAUGUAGCUUCGAUUUCGGUUGAAGUGUUAUAGCCUCUGGUAGAUGUGGUGAUUGGGACUGAGGAUUGCAACGAAUAUCCUUUGGGCUAUCCGUCUGGCCUCUGAAAGUUGCUUGGGUGCUGAAAGCUUGCUUAUGGUUAUCUAAGUUAACGGUCAAUAGGUUAGAACGUGAUUACAUUCGUUAAGGAUGUUGACGUA
rnacentral:rRNA from 1 species